UUAAAAAAAAGGAGAUUCAGACUUUCUGUAGGAUUUUGUCACACUCUGUGUUUACUUACCGAAACGACAAUACCGGACCUCGGUUCAAAAACGCGCAAUUUCUUAUCCUUGCACGUGGUUGCUAACAAGCUGCCAUCUCGAUUUAAGGAUAUGCUGUAGAUCACAUCGGGAUGUCUGUCGAUGACACUCACUGCUUCACAUCUGUUUACAUCCCACACGAUAACAAGAUGGUCGAAACCGGCACUGAAGAGUACAUUUUCCGCUACCGGAUGCCAUUCGAUAUAAGCGACGCGUCGUUUGUGCCCUUGCAAUUCCACCAACCAUUCAGUCAAGUUUCUCGACAACCCACCAUCAGUGCAAUCAUCGGAACAGGAUGCAAUGAUGUUGUCGUUAAAUGGAUUCCAUUUGAUGUCCAAAACGGGACCGGUAUGUCCAGUUACUCGACUGGCAUUGAAGUCGAGUCGUCCGGUCUGUAACGUUAGAGUCGUCAUGAUGCAAGCUUUUCCCCAAGUAGGGCAAGAAUCAAUAAAUCGAUAAGACACAGAGAUAACUUACACGAUCCAACGAUAAAACCAGGAAUGCUCCGCCACCCGCAACUUCCGUCACGACGGCCAGAAACUUGGGAUUUACGGCGCAGAAUUGCGAAUCGUGGGCGUUCUUCGUGAUCUUGAUGUUGUCGUAACAUUUUUCCCUUUUGGCCGGCACACCGUAAACGUGCCGAAAUUUGCUGCUUCGAACACCGCGAAACCACGACUGCAAAUAAAUUAUUAUAAAUCCAUUUUUAUCUCAUGUAUUUCUUCUACGUUAAUUUCGCAAAUUUGAUAUAUGCUUCAUGCAAAUUAAUUGUUGAAACAAUGUCAUGUAAAUAUGUCACUACGAAUAUUAACAAAAAUAAUCAUGAAUAUAUAUAUAUAUAUAUAUAUAUAUAUAUAUAUAUAUUGUAUAUAUGUUAAUUUUAUGUGAUUACAUCUUUUCACCGCGAUAAACUCGCAUUUCUGAAAUAGGAUAUAAUAUGCGCAUAUGAUGAUUUCGAAGAAACGUUCGAAGAAAAAAACAUAUAUUUCGUGUAUCAUCUUUGGUAAAACUCUCUCUUGUUCAGAAACCGUGAAAAAGAAAGUUACUGCAAUAUCGUGAACGGAAAUACUGAUAUCCUCUUAUCAAGCUGACAAUUAUAGAAUUUGUAACGAAUGCUUCAGACAAUAAAGUCGAGAAUCGACAAGACGCAGUGAGGCAUAAACAAUGAUCAUGAAGACAAAAUAUAAUGUAAAGUUAGAUUCUAUUUAAUAUUACAAUGUUCGUAUU